UAUUAUAGGUAUACAAUUGUAAAGAUUUUUUUUAAUAGAACUAUACAUUAAAGAUCCAGGCCCAGCCCAAGCCUGAAUUAAAGACCCAGCCCAAUAGUCAAACCCUAACCCUCUCUCUCCCCAACGCUCCCCUAACGGACACAAUAGCCUAGCCGACCCUCUUCUCCUCUCUUUCACCCACGACAGCUCUUCGCUCACACCGGCUCUCUAAGGCACGGCAGCUACCUCUUACGCCGGCUCUGUCAUAUCCCAGAUAAAUUUCCAAUUACGUCUGAAACCGUGGAACUCUCUGAAAACAGAAAAUUAAUUGUAGGUGUUGGUCUUCCUGGUUUGGUGUCACCGACUCAAACCGUGCGGUGUAGUUUAACUAUCAAACUGCAAGUGUGGUACACCCUAGCUGCCUGUGUAAGAAGAAGGGGAGUGUUAUUUUUAUAUGGGGAAAUCUGGGGGAAGGAAGAAAAAGGGUGGUUCGAACCAAGUUUCUGGGGAUAACAUUUCAACCCCUAUUGCUAAUGGUGCUGUGGAUUUGGAUUCUUCCAUAUUUUUGAAGAGAGCCCAUGAGCUUAAAGAGGAAGGGAACAAGAGGUUUCAGAACAAGGAUUAUGUGAGUGCUCUUGAGCAGUAUGAUAAUGCUCUUAGGCUCACACCGAAAACUCACCCAGAUAGGGCAGUCUUUCAUAGCAAUAGAGCGGCUUGUCUUAUGCAAA